AAGCAUAUCAAUAAGCGG
rnacentral:snRNA from 1 species